AUGAAGACCUUCCUCAUCUUUGCUCUCCUUGCCAUUGCGGCGACAAGUGCCAUUGCACAAAUGGAGACUAGCCGCGUCCCUGGUUUGGAGAAACCAUGGCAGCAACAACCAUUACCACCACAACAACAACCACCAUGUUCACAGCAACAACAACCAUUUCCACAGCAACAACAACCAAUUAUUAUACUGCAACAAUCACCAUUUUCGCAGCAACAACAACCAGUUCUGCCGCAACAGCAACCAGUUAUUAUACUGCAACAACCACCAUUUUCGCAGCAACAACAACCAGUUCUACCACAACAACCACCAUUUUCACAACAACAACAACAACAACAACAACAACAACCACCAUUUUCGCAGCAACAACAACCAGUUCUACCACAACAACCACCAUUUUCACAACAACAACAACCACCAUUUUCGCAGCAGCAACAACCAUCUUCACAACAACCACCUUUUCCACAACAACACCAACAGUUUCCACAACAACAAAUCCCUGUUGUUCAACCAUCCGUUUUGCAGCAGCUAAACCCAUGCAAGGUGUUCCUCCAACAGCAGUGUAGCCAUGUGGCAAUGUCGCAACGUCUUGCUAGGUCACAAAUGUGGCAACAGAGUAGUUGCCAUGUGAUGCAACAACAAUGUUGCCAACAGCUGCCGCAAAUCCCCGAACAAUCCCGCUCUGAGGCAAUCCGUGCCAUCGUCUACUCCAUCAUCCUGCAAGAACAACAACAGGGUUUUGUCCAACCUCAGCAGCAACAACCCCAACAGUCGGGCCAAGGUGUCUCCCAACACCAACAGCAGUCGCAGCAGCAGCAGCAACUCGGACAGUGUUCUUUCCAACAACCUCAACAACUACAACAAUUGGGUCAGCAGCCUCAACAACAACAGAUACCACAGGGUAUAUUCUUGCAGCCACACCAGAUAUCUCAACUUGAGGUGAUGACUUCCAUUGCACUCCGUACCUUGCCAACGAUGUGCGGUGUCAACGUGCCGUUGUACAGCUCGACCACUAUUAUGCCAUUCAGCAUUGGCACUGGAGUUGGUGGCUACUGAUAA
rnacentral:rRNA from 1 species